rnacentral:rRNA from 1 species
GGGGGGGGGGGGGGGGGGGGGGGGGGGGGGGGGGUCGGACGGGAGGGCGCUGCUUGUGUGGGGUGCUCGGGGGGCGAACGGGUGAGUAACGGGGGAGUAACCUGCCCUGGACUUUGGGAUGACUUCAGGAAAGGGGGGCUAAUACCGGAUCGGAGCUCCUGCUGCAGGGUGGGGGGUGGAAAGUUUCGGCGGUUGGGGCUGGACGCGCGGAUUAUCAGCUUGUUGGUGGGGUAGUGGCUUACCAAGGCUUUGACGGGUAGCCGGCCGGAGAGGGUGACCGGCAACAUUGGGACUGAGAUACGGCCCAGACUCCUACGGGAGGCAGCAGUGAGGAAUAUUGCACAGUGGGCGGAAGCCUGAUGCAGCAACGCCGCGUGCGGGAUGACGGCCUUCGGGUUGUAAACCGCUUUCGCCUGUGACGAAGCGUGAGUGACGGUAAUGGGUAAAGAAGCACCGGCUAACUACGUG